rnacentral:rRNA from 1 species
UACGACUACAUAUCAGGCAUAUCAAUAAGCGGAGGAAAAGAAACUAACAAGGAUUCCCUUAGUAACGGCGAGUGAAGCGGGAAGAGCUCAAAUUUGAAAUCUUCAAGGUUCUACCUUGACGAAUUGUAGUUUAAAGAAGUGUUUUCUGUUAGAUGAGUAGCAAAAGUUCCUUGGAAUGGGACAUCAUAGAGGGUGAGAAUCCCGUAUUUGGUUAUUCAUUCUAGCUUUGUGAUACACUUUCAAAGAGUCGGAUUGUUUGGGAAUGCAGUCCAAAAUGGGUGGUAAAUUUCAUCUAAAGCUAAAUAUUGGCGAGAGACCGAUAGCGAACAAGUACCGUGAGGGAAAGAUGAAAAGAACUUUGAAAGGAGAGUUAAACAGUACGUGAAAUUGUCAAAAGGGAAGCGUUUGACACCAGUGUUGUUUUUCCGAAAAUCAAUUACGAAUGGCUUGAUUUUGUGUUGUAUUGACCUUAUCAGCUUUCUGCACUUUUUUCGAGUCUUUCUUAAUGCACUUUUCGGUUAACAAGUCAACAUCAAUUUCUUUUGUUGUAAAUGAGUAUUCGGAAGGUGGCUUUCUUUUCGGAGAAAGUGUUUAUAGCCCUAUACUUCUACAAUCGGAGAGAUUGAGGUCUGCAGCGUAGAUCCUUCGGGGUUAGAUACACUUGUGCUAAGUUGUAGCUUUUCAUAGACAACUUGUUGACUAUGUUUAGUCAUGCGGCUUACUCGCUUGUGCUAUUUUACCUACGCUUAGGAUGUUGAGUAGCGACAUACGCAC